GAUGAACGCUGGCGGCGUGCCUAAUACAUGCAAGUCGAGCGAAUGGAUUAAGAGCUUACUCUUAUGAAGUUAGCGGCGGACGGGUGAGUAACACGUGGGUAACCUGCCCAUAAGACUGGGAUAACUCCGGGAAACCGGGGCUAAUACCGGAUAACAUUUUGAACCGCAUGGUUCGAAAUUGAAAGGCAGCUUCGGCUGUCACUUAUGGAUGGACCCGCGUCGCAUUAGCUAGUUGGUGAGGUAACGGCUCACCAAGGCAACGAUGCGUAGCCGACCUGAGAGGGUGAUCGGCCACACUGGGACUGAGACACGGCCCAGACUCCUACGGGAGGCAGCAGUAGGGAAUCUUCCGCAAUGGACGAAAGUCUGACGGAGCAACGCCGCGUGAGUGAUGAAGGCUUUCGGGUCGUAAAACUCUGUUGUUAGGGAAGAACAAGUGCUAGUUGAAUAAGCUGGCACCUUGACGGUACCUAACCAGAAAGCCACGGCUAACUACGUGCCAGCAGCCGCCGUAA
rnacentral:rRNA from 1 species